GCGCACGUGGCGUAAUUGGUAGCCGCGCCAGACUUAGGAUCUGGUGCCGCACGGGUGGGGGUUCGAGUCCCUCCAUGCGCA
rnacentral:tRNA from 1 species